GAUGAACGCUGGCGGCGUGUCUAAUACAUGCAAGUCGAGCUAACAGACGAGCAGCUUUCUCCUCUUACUUUAGCGGCGUACGGGUGAGUAACACGUGGAUAACCUACCGAUAAGAUUGGAGUAACUUUGGGAAACCGCUGCUAAUACCGCAUAGUAUAUGUAAUGGCUUGGUUCAAUAGUGAAAGACGGUUUUGCUGUCGCUUAUACAUGGCUCCUGGGCGCAUUAGUUAGUUGGUAAGGUGACGGCUUACCAAGGCGUUGCUGCGGAGCCGCACUGAGAGGGCGAUCGGCCCCACUGGAACUGAGAAACGUGCCAGACUCCUGCGCGAGGCAGCAGAGGGGGUGCUUCCGCAAUGGGCGAAAGCCUGCCGGAGCAACGCCGCGUGAGUGAAGAAGAUCUUCGGAUUCUAAAACUCUGUUAUUAGGGAAGAACAAUUGUGUAAGUGACUCUGCACGUCUUGACGGUACCUAAUCAGAAAACAACGGCUAACUACGUG
rnacentral:rRNA from 1 species